AACGAACGCUGGCGGCAUGCCUAACACAUGCAAGUCGAACGAGACCUUCGGGUCUAGUGGCGCACGGGUGCGUAACGCGUGGGAACCUGCCUUUAGGUUCGGAAUAACUCAGAGAAAUUUGAGCUAAUACCGGAUGAUGUCUUCGGACCAAAGAUUUAUCGCCUUUAGAUGGGCCCGCGUUGGAUUAGCUAGUUGGUGGGGUAAAGGCCUACCAAGGCGACGAUCCAUAGCUGGUCUGAGAGGAUGAUCAGCCACACUGGGACUGAGACACGGCCCAGACUCCUACGGGAGGCAGCAGUGGGGAAUAUUGGACAAGGGGCGAAAGCCUGAUCUAGCAAUGCCGCGUGAGUGAUGAAGGCCUUAGGGUUGUAAAGCUCCUUUACCCGAGAUGAUAAUGACAGUAUCGGGAGAAUAAGCUCCGGCUAACUCCGUG
rnacentral:rRNA from 1 species